UUGGGUGUCAAAAUAGCCCUUUAUGUUCAAUGGCCCUAUUGCAGGCUGAUUCUUUGGUUUCCAUUAAUUUCGUCAUUGGUAAAAUUAACAUUAAAUAAAAAAUAGUUCAAAAUAUCUAUAAUUAAUUACUCAUAUUAUUAUUAAGAUAGCAAAACAAACAAAAAAAACGAUUUAUUUAUUAAUUUAAAUUCAUUGCACUGUGUUAAAUUAAGAGUAUUUAAUAACGACGCACAAAAAUAGUUACCAUAAAUGUCAACUAUAUUUAAAAUAUGCAAAAAGGCUUUUUUUAUUCAAAUUGGUGACAUCAGUCAGUUCAAAUAAAUGAAAUCAUAUUGUAUUUUGAAAAAUUGUAAUUGAAAACAACGACCAGUUUAUGUGAAAUAAAUAUCAAAAUAGAAGUUAAAAUUUUUCAGAAGAAAUAUAUUGUUACAAAGGCAUUGGGUAAAAAAAGUCCCCAAAAACGUAUGAGCAAAAUUAAAGUAAGCAACAGUGGCUUAUUGAUGUGUAUGAAUAUGUUUCAACAUAAAAUUAAUUUUGUGGAUAUUGGGGAGUGGGAAUUGUCAAAAAUUAAAAACAACGAGGUUCUCUUGAAUUUACAAGAAAAUAUCGAAAACACAGCAAAAUACAUGAUAAAGAUCAAUUUAAAAAUAUUCAAAUCUGUAUUGUGAUUGUGUACGAGUAAUGCUGAGUAUUUCAGCUUUUCCAUUUAUGUUUUGAAUAUAUUAUAAUUUUAUAUACAUUAUUUUUUAACAAAGCAACUUAAAAAGUCGUAUGAAUUAAUUAAUUAUCCCCCUUGUUAACGAUUCAAUGAUAAAAUAAAUGUCAAAUGGAAAUAGUAUUUAAACAUAAAUCGAUUAUGAAGAUUUAAUACAAUAUUGCAAAAACUUUUAUAACAUUUUUAUUAAUACAGUGACAAAAGAUAGACCUUAUGUUUAUAUUUUACAACCCCACGGGUAUAUUUGUUUUAUUGGACUAUGAAUAAUAUAAAAAAGUUAUCAAUAAUAUAGUCAUUUAAUAUACAAUUGAGAACAUUAUAGUCACAUUAUAUUUUUUUAAU